AAUCAACGCUGGCGGCGUGCCUAACACAUGCAAGUCGCACGAGAAAGGGACUUCGGUCCUGAGUACAGUGGCGCACGGGUGAGUAACACGUGAAUCAUCUACCUUCGAGUGGGGAAUAACUGAGAGAAAUCUUAGCUAAUACCGCAUAAUACCUACGGGUCAAAGCAGCAAUGCGCUUGAAGAGGAGUUCGCGGCAGAUUAGUUAGUUGGCAGGGUAAGGCCUACCAAGACGAUGAUCUGUAUCCGGCCUGAGAGGGCGCACGGACACACUGGAACCGAAACACGGUCCAGACUCCUACGGGAGGCAGCAGUGGGGAAUUUUGCGCAAUGGGGGAAACCCUGACGCAGCAACGCCGCGUGGAGGAUGAAAUCCCUUGGGAUGUAAACUCUUUCGAUCGGGAAGAUAAUGACGGUACCGAGAGAAGAGCCCCGGCUAACUUCGUGCCAGCAGCCGCCGUAAG
rnacentral:rRNA from 1 species